rnacentral:rRNA from 1 species
GAUAAACGCUGGCGGCGUGCCUUAUGCAUGCAAGUCGAACGGUCUCGAUUUAUCGAGAUAGUGGCGAACGGGUGAGUAACGCGUAAGUAACCUGCCCCUAAGUAAAGGAUAACUCUGAGAAAUUAGAGCUAAUACUGUAUGUGGUGGUGGAGAUAACACUUCAUCACUAAAGCUUUAGGGCGCUUAGGGAGGGGGCUUGCGUCCGAUUAGCUAGUUGGUAGGGUAAUGGUCUACCAAGGCGAUGAUCGGUAGCUGGUUUGAGAGGACAUCCAGCCACACUGGGAUUGAGAUACGGCCCAGACUCCUACGGGAGGCAGCAGCAAGGAAUUUUGUGCAAUGGGCGAAAGCCUGACACAGCGACGCCGUGUGGGGGAUGAAGGCCUUCGGGUUGUAAACCCCUUUUCUCAGGGAAGAAUAAUGACGGUACCUGAGGAAUAAGUCGUGGCUAACUACGUGCCAGCAGCCGCGGUAAUACGUAGGCGGCAAGCGUUAUCCGGAUUUACUGGGCGUAAAGAGGGCGUAGGCGGUUUUUCAAGUCGAUUGUAAAAUCUCCCGGCUUAACUGGGAGGAGUCAUUCGAUACUGUUAGACUAGAGAGCAGCAGGGGGAGGUGGAAUUCCCGGUGUAGUGGUGAAAUGUGUAGAUAUCGGGAGGAACACCAGUGGCGAAGGCGGCCUCCUAGGCUGUUUCUGACGCUGAGGUCCGAAAGCGUGGGGAGCAAACAGGAUCAGAUACCCUGGUAGUCCACGCUGUAAUCGAUGGACACUAGGUAUAGGGAGUAUCAACCCUCUCUGUGCCGAAGCUAACGCAUUAAGUGUCCCGCCUGGGGACUACGGCCGCAAGGCUA